CUUCGGGGUGUGACUGCGUACCUUUUGUAUAAUGGGUCAGCGACUUAUAUUCUGUAGCAAGGUUAACCGAAUAGGGGAGCCGGAGGGAAACCGAGUCUUAAUUGGGCGUUAAGUUGCAGGGUAUAGACCCGAAACCCGGUGAUCUAGCCAUGGGCAGGUUGAAGGUUGGGUAACACUAACUGGAGGACCGAACCGACUAAUGUUGAAAAAUUAGCGGAUGACCUGUGGCUGGGGGUGAAAGGCCAAUCAAACCGGGAGAUAGCUGGUUCUCCCCGAAAGCUAUUUAGGUAGCGCCUCGUGAAUUCAUCUCCGGGGGUAGAGCACUGUUUCGGCUAGGGGGCCAUCCCGGCUUACCAACCCGAUGCAAACUGCGAAUACCGGAGAAUGUUAUCACGGGAGACACACGGCGGGUGCUAACGUCCGUCGUGAAGAGGGAAACAACCCAGACCGCCAGCUAAGGUCCCAAAGUCAUGGUUAAGUGGGAAACGAUGUGGGAAGGCCCAGACAGCCAGGAUGUUGGCUUAGAAGCAGCCAUCAUUUAAAGAAAGCGUAAUAGCUCACUGGUCGAGUCGGCCUGCGCGGAAGAUGUAACGGGGCUAAACCAUGCACCGAAGCUGCGGCAGCGAACGUAUCACCCAAGACAACUUUGCGGAGUUGACGAUUGACGGAGCGAAGCGACGUCAAAGCGUUCAUUAAAGUCGAGUUGGCUUAGGGAUACGUUCGUUGGGUAGGGGAGCGUUCUGUAAGCCUGUGAAGGUAUGCUGUGAGGCAUGCUGGAGGUAUCAGAAGUGCGAAUGCUGACAUAAGUAACGAUAAAGCGGGUGAAAAGCCCGCUCGCCGGAAGACCAAGGGUUCCUGUCCAACGUUAAUCGGGGCAGGGUGAGUCGACCCCUAAGGCGAGGCCGAAAGGCGUAGUCGAUGGGAAACGGGUUAAUAUUCCCGUACUUGGUGUUACUGCGAAGGGGGGACGGAGAAGGCUAUGUUGGCCGGGCGACGGUU
rnacentral:rRNA from 1 species